rnacentral:siRNA from 1 species
GGCGUGCUACUGUAGCAACGGUA